rfam:Oxytricha trifallax strain JRB310 Contig9191.0 macronuclear, whole genome shotgun sequence.
GCCUGGGUAGCUCAGUUGGGAGAGCGUCAGACUGAAGAUCUGAAGGUCCCUGGUUCAAUCCCGGGUCUAGGCA